GAGCAGGUUGAGAAGAAAGACCAGCAGGUAGGUUGUCAGCCAGAGAGGGACUGUUGGCAGGGUCUGGGCCAAGCUCUUGCCUACUACUCAGCUAUGGCUAAGGGAUGCUGGAGGUUUACUUACUUUUUUUUUUUUUUAUUAUUAAUUGUAGUCAAUUUUAUUUAUUUUUUUAAAUCUAAAGCAUUUAUUUACAGAGGAAUUACCAUCAGUACUAACUUGAAAGAUAAUCUGGUACAUAAAUUAUAAGUAUUAAAUAAUAUCUUUCUUUGGAGGUUCAAAAUAAUCACUCAAGUAGCACUCAACUAAUUAUUUCAGAACCUGAACCUGUACAUACACAAGCAACUAAAUGGAUCUAAAGAAAGAUCUCUAAGACAAGAGAGAAGGUAAGAAAUGCUGACAGCUUUUUCAAAUCUCAAGUGAGUUAGGGAUCCAUGAACGUAUCUAGGGUGGUGCUUUGGUUUACUUACUUUUAACCCACCCUACCCCCGUCCCUUUUGUGUCUUCCUGUGUAUGUGCAGGUGCACAUGAAUGUAGACCAGAAGUCAGCCUGUAUUGUUUCUUAAGUAGCAUCCAUCUUGUCCUUUGAGACACGGUCUCUCAUUGAGCCCUAGAGCUCACCAAUUAGGCUGUCUGUCUGACUGUCCAGCAAACCGUGGAGGUCCUCCUGUCUUUGCUCCCCAGUGCUGGAAUGAUAAGCAAACACCACUGCAUCUGGCUUUUUACAUAAGUGCUGAGCAAACUCAGGUCUUCUUCUAUGCAGGGUUAGCACUUGGCCAACUGGUCUGACUCCCUCACCCCUGAGUUUUGCUGUCUAUCAAGGAGAAAGAUGCAGGGGUCUUUGGAGGAAAGGCUGGAGUGACUGUCACUGCAGAGAGACCCCAGUGGCUCUGAGCAGAGGCUGGCCUGUCAUGAUCACCUGAGCUUUUUCAGAGAGGCUGAACUCAGAAGCUCCCAGAGCUACAGCCAGUGUUCUGAGGUAAUUGGGUCUUCAGAGAGUGCCUGAUUAAAAGACCUGGGCAGAGAGAUCUCUCUCAGCCUCGUCACUCUGUCUCCUUCAGAAACUCAAACGUGUUCUCCUUGGCAGCAGUAGGGUGUUAAGCCAGAAAUGAUUUGGAGCAAAGGUAGAGUGUGAGGGAGGACCAGUGUCCAGUGCUGUUCUUCUGGCUACCUACCCCAGCCUGGGUCUGCAAAGUGACAGCCCAGGCUACAGGGUCACUUGGGGUCGUCUGUAUUUAUCUCUCAGGAGACCAACCCACAAUAUUGCCUUUUUGAGUAGAAGGGACUCUGAGAUGAAUGGGGUGACAGGUGCAGGAGGCAGAGCCUCCUUCCACCACCAACAGCCUCUUCUGGCCCCCAGCAGCCACACAAACCCUAUUCUGUAUGUGAUGUGGGGCCUGAAAUGUGACCACUCUGGGGUCCUGGAGGGCAGAAAAAAAGCUCCCUCUAGUCCUCUCUGGUUUCCUAUGUCCAGGUGGGUCAUGCCCUUCACUGCCCGCCUGUUUCCACCCCUCUCCUACCACGGGCUCUGCUGACAGAGGGGCUACUGGGGGAGGGGCAACAGAGGAGCUCCCCAUCCACCGCUCUGAACAUGUUCUCAGACAGCCCUGGUGAUGUCUGUAAGCUUAGAAGAAGAGCUUCAAGACAAGACUACAGUUCUUUCAAGGCUAAUGAGAAGGAAGAAAUUCUGCCCACAACAAAUGACCCAUCGUCCAGGUACACCAGCUAGACCAGCAUGCACUCUGCCCAUAUCAGCCCACCGGGAAGGACUCUCGAGUUGGUGACAGCCCUGACUUGGAUUUUGUUCUCCCUGGGGACGGUCCACUCUUGGGUCAUCUAGCUCUCCCAGCCUAGGGGUGGGGGAGGGGAAGAGACAGGCACCAGCAGCUUCAGGAAACGAAUGAAUCUAUUAGCCUGUAAUUCCAAACCAAAAUGACUGCGUUGGCUCCUUCUCUGCCCCAUCCAUCUUGUUACUGGGCUGUGGGGAGCUGGGGAAGCCUCCGCCAAGAAAUUUAUUAACUCAGAUUUAAAUAAAAUGGUAAUUUUAUAACAGCCUUUUUUAACAAAAUUAAGGCAUUUGAAUUACUCACCUGGAAACUGCUGAGGGGCACAAAUGUCACAAGAUAAAUCAAGCCUGUGAGAUUGGCAUCUCUCAGCGGCAGCAAGGGUAGCUAGGGGCCAUGAAGCCAACAGCUAAACAGCUCCUCCCCUGCCCCGUCCCUGGCCUGAUGAGGGAGGUUCGGGUGGCCACAUCCCAGGAGUGAACACUCAGCCCGAUGGAUGGAUGGGGCCGUGGGAGAGGUGGGGAAUUAAAAGGGAGGCAUUAAAUAAAAGCUCUAAUUAGCUG
rnacentral:sRNA from 1 species